UUAAAUCCCUUAUCGAGGUAUCCAUUGGAGGGCAAGUCUGGUGCCAGCAGCCGCGGUAAUUCCAGCUCCAAUAGCGUAUAUUAAAGUUGUUGCAGUUAAAACGCUCGUAGUCGGAUUUCGAAGCACGCUCACGGGGGCGGUUUUUGCUGUUUCUGUGAGGGUGUCUUCUUUUUCUGGGACGCGUUGUGCGGGACUUGAUUGUCUCUGCACAUCUGCGGGCCGGACGUUUACUGUGAAGAAAUUAGGGUGUUCAAAGCAGGCSUUUGCUAUGAAUACGUGAGCAUGGAAUAAUAGAAUAGGACUUGACCUCUAUUUUGUUGGUUUCCGGAGAACAAGUAAUGAUUAAUAGGGACAGUUGGGGGCAUUCGUAUUUCAUUGUCAGAGGUGAAAUUCUUGGAUUGAUGGAAGACGAACAACUGCGAAAGCAUCUGCCAAGGAUGUUUUCAUUGAUCAAGAACGAAAGUUAGGGGAUCGAAGACGAUCAGAUACCGUCGUAGUCUUAA
rnacentral:rRNA from 1 species